UUAGCCCACUGCAGUAAAAGGAAAACAGGAAAACAGAUCAUGUCUUGCAGAGGAGAGCUAGUUAGAACUCUUCUGUGAGGAAGAUACAGUAGGUGAGAAUGAUCAGAGGGCAGGCAAAUUGUUUGUAUGAGGGGAGAGGCUCUCUCAUUCGCCACUCGACCUGUCUGUCUCCAACAGAUGUGUAUGAUUGGUUCUUAGAGCUAUUUAGAUAAUCUAGUGAAUCCCACUGGCGAGAUGUCUAAACUAAUAACUGAAAGAUACUACUUUUUGCUAUUGUAAAACGCCAAACUUCCCAAAUACCACCAAAUAACUGAAGUAAUCUCACCUCUUUUCUCCAGGUAACCAGAAUCAGCCUCCCCUCUGAGAUAGUGUUCACGGUGAAGAUGGCUCCAUUCCAUGGUUUCCUGGAUAGGUCAACACCUGUGAGAAGAUCACCACUACCAGGGGACCAGAGAGUUUCUCCCAGGAGCAUGUCAACACUGGCCACAUCCAGCACCUCCAGGUGUGGGUGAACUCAGUCACAGAGAUCUGCGUAGAUGACCUGAGUGUUAAGGACAGUGACUCUCCUCCUGAGGACCUAGAGUUCACCGUAACCCCGCCUAGCAACAUACACCGGGCACUGAAGAGCUCCCCCUCCAGGCACAUCCUGAACUUCACCCAGACACACAUCCUUUGGGGACAGCUGUGCACAGUGUUAUGAGCCAUCCUGAAUCGGUGGGAUGGACUACUACAGACUCCUCCACAUUCACAAUGUGGUUACCACCUGCCCCUCUUCAACCCCACAUCUUCAGGAUCCAUGUUUCCUAUGAACCCUCUCCCGCAACAUCAUCCUCGCUGCUAACACUGGCGAGUUCUGUAUUCUGUGCUGUCAGACAGAGGGUUUGUUAUAACGCAGAAUUCCUGUAGGGGAAAAGUCCAUAUUAAAAGUCCUUAAUAGCAGAAUUCCUCCUUUGCAGAAUUCUAUUGCGUGUGCAUUCAUUGUCCAAAUACAUCUAAAUCUAUUGUUUAUUUAUUUGUUUAUGUAGCCAUUUAUU